rnacentral:rRNA from 1 species
CCGAGUCUUAAUUGGGCGUUAAGUUGCAGGGUAUAGACCCGAAACCCGGUGAUCUAGCCAUGGGCAGGUUGAAGGUUGGGUAACACUAACUGGAGGACCGAACCGACUAAUGUUGAAAAAUUAGCGGAUGACCUGUGGCUGGGGGUGAAAGGCCAAUCAAACCGGGAGAUAGCUGGUUCUCCCCGAAAGCUAUUUAGGUAGCGCCUCGUGAAUUCAUCUCCGGGGGUAGAGCACUGUUUCGGCUAGGGGGCCAUCCCGGCUUACCAACCCGAUGCAAACUGCGAAUACCGGAGAAUGUUAUCACGGGAGACACACGGCGGGUGCUAACGUCCGUCGUGAAGAGGGAAACAACCCAGACCGCCAGCUAAGGUCCCAAAGUCAUGGUUAAGUGGGAAACGAUGUGGGAAGGCCCAGACAGCCAGGAUGUUGGCUUAGAAGCAGCCAUCAUUUAAAGAAAGCGUAAUAGCUCACUGGUCGAGUCGGCCUGCGCGGAAGAUGUAACGGGGCUAAACCAUGCACCGAAGCUGCGGCAGCGAACGUAUCACCCAAGACAACUUUACGGAGUUGACGAUUGACGGAGCGAAGCGACGUCAAAGCGUUCAUUAAAGUCGAGUUGGCUUAGGGAUACGUUCGUUGGGUAGGGGAGCGUUCUGUAAGCCUGUGAAGGUGUGUCGUGAGGCAU